AGAGGAAGCCCGGUGCGAAUCCGGCGCGGUCCCGCCACUGUGACCGGGGAAGACGAAGAGGUCCCCGGAAGCCAGGAACUC
rnacentral:ncRNA from 1 species